GACGGAGGAUGCAAGCGUUAUCCGGAAUGAUUGGGCGUAAAGCGUCCGCAGGUGGCAGUUCAAGUCUGCUGUCAAAGACCGGGGCUUAACUUCGGAAAGGCAGUGGAAACUGAACAGCUAGAGUAUGGUAGGGGCAGAGGGAAUUCCUGGUGUAGCGGUGAAAUGCGUAGAUAUUGGGAAGAACACCGGUGGCGAAAGCGCUCUGCUGGACCUGCACUGACACUGAGGGACGAAAGCUAGGGGAGCGAAAGGG
rnacentral:rRNA from 1 species